rnacentral:rRNA from 1 species
AAUGAACGUUGGCGGCAUGGAUUAGGCAUGCAAGUCGAGCGAGAAGUGUAGCAAUACACGGAAAGCGGCGGAAGGGAGAGUAAUACGUGGGAAUCUGCCCUUAGACCUGGGAUAGCAGCGGGAAACUGCUGGUAAUACCAGAUAAUGUCUAUGGACCAAAGGUGUGAUUCCGUCUAGGGAUGAGCCCACGUCCUAUUAGCUAGUUGGUAGGGUAAUGGCCUACCAAGGCGAGGAUGGGUAGCGGGUGUGAGAGCAUGACCCGCCUCACUGGGACUUAGACACUGCCCAGACACCUACGGGUGGCUGCAGUCGAGAAGCGUCGGCAAUGGGCGCAAGCCUGACCGAGCGAUGCCGCGUGCAGGAUGAAGGCCUUCGGGUUGUAAACCGCUGUCGAGGGGGAGCAACUUCCAUAGAGUUAUCUUUAUGGAUUGAGUGAUCCCUGGAGGAAGGACGGGCUAAGUUCGUGCCAGCCGCCGCAGUAAUAC